rnacentral:rRNA from 1 species
GCGAAAACUUUACAAUGCUGGCAACAGUGAUAAGGGAACCUCGAGUGCCAGGUUACAAAUCUGGCUGUCGAGAUGCCUAAAAAGCAUUUCAUAGCAAGGGCCGGGCAAGACCGGUGCCAGCCGCCGCGGUAACACCGGCGGCUCGAGUGGUAACCGUUAUUAUUGGGUCUAAAGGGUCUGUAGCCGGCCGGAUAAGUCUCUUGAGAAAUCUGGCAGCUUAACUGUCAGGCUUUCAGGAGAUACUGUCUGGCUCGAGGCCGGGAGAGGUGAGAGGUACUUCAGGGGUAGGGGUGAAAUCUUGUAAUCCUUGAAGGACCACCAGUGGCGAAGGCGUCUCACCAGAACGGACCUGACGGCAAGGGACGAAAGCCAGGGGCACGAACC